rnacentral:rRNA from 1 species
UACGUAGGGGGCGAGCGUUACCCGGAAUCACUGGGCGUAAAGGGAGCGUAGGUGGCCUAACAUGUCAACUGUGAAAACCCGGAGCUCAACUCCGGACUUGCAGUUGAAACUGGUAGGCUUGAGGACGGUAGAGGAAGACGGAACUGCCAGUGUAGGGGUAAAAUCCUUAGAUAUUGGCAGGAACGCCGGUGACGAAGGUGGUUUUCUGGGCCGGUUCUGACACUGAUGCUCGAAAGCCAGGGGAGCGAACGGGAUUAGAUACC